ACAACUCACACGUCAUAAAAACUAAAAGAAAUAAACGGAGAGAGAGAGAGAGAGAUCAGAGCGGCAAAAACAGAGGGGUUGGGUAAGAAGAAAAGAGAUGUCCCCGGCGAUUAAGAAAAAGACUUCGCCGGUGAAGGAGAAAGAGAUGGCGGCAGAGUCUCAGAUCACUGGCGAGGAGUAAGGAGGAGCUCGCCGGUGAUGGUGACAGUGACGACCCAGAGGACGACGGUGAGAAGAAAGAAGAGGUGACGAAGAAGAAGGCAGAUUUUCUGCUCUGUUUCUGGCGAACAGAAGAGAUGAAGAACAAGAAAUCAGAGACAACGCCGGCUGUGCAUGCAAGCUUCUGGUCACAGAAAAGAGAAAGAGAUGAUGGUGAUGGUCGUUGAAGCGGCUAAGAAGAAGAAGAAUGGCAGCGGUGAGUGGUGCUAAGAGCAAAAAGUCAGAGGAGCGGCGCAGAGAAGUGAGAAUAGGGCCGUGGUGCUGCUGCAUGCAGAAAAAGCGUUCGGUAAAGACAGAUCGGAGCAGAAAGACAGACGAUGCCGCUGAUGGAAGUUCUGUCUCAGUGAAGAUAAAGGUUGAGGAUCUGUUGGUGUUUGAGUGAUGGUUGAUGUCUGCAGUUUCAGGUAUUUUGUUUCUGUAUUAGUGAUGGCCGGAUGUCAAUUGGUGUAUGAUGUAUAUGGUUGUGUUUGGCUGAAGUUGUGGAUUUCAAAUUGGGUGCGUGGAUCUGAAACUUUUUAUGGUUUGGGUGGUUUUGCUCUUUGAUUGGUUUUGGUUCGCGUAUGGACUGUGAACGAUGC